rnacentral:misc_RNA from 1 species
GUUUCAAUUGUUUCUUCCCAAAAUAUGUACAUGUGUUAAAGUUUCAGGAGAAGUUAUAUUGACCUGAAAAACCCCCCACUUACUUCAUCCCAAGUUUAGCAUAGCUAUCAUAUUUGGGAAAAUUUUGGUAAAAUCAGGCUACGUUGGAAGAAGGCUUGUAAAAUGAACAAAAAAAUACACAAAACUGCGGGAACUAUUGCCUGCAAACUCUUCUCGAGACACUUUUGACUCUUCUCUGAUGCUCCUCAUCUUUGGCUGGCAAGAAAAAGGAAACCUUAAGUUGAAGCGACUUACGAACGCUGUCUGGUUUCCUUAAGCAAGAUUUUAGCAUGGUAACCUCUUUGCUGUGUCUGAACUCUAUGUCACCAACUUUCGUUUUGUGAAAUUCUGCAGUGAUGUUAGUGUUAAUAUUAUGAUCUUCUUCAUGAUUGGAAGAUUUAAUGAUAAUUCUGGAAGUCUCCGCUGGUUUAUCUUCAAGACUAAGGUGGGACAUUUUGUGCUUGAGCAUAAUUUCAGGCCAUGAACCAACCUUGUUUUGUUUUCUGGUUUUCAAAUCACGGUCUUGAUCUAGGGAAGGUAUCCACAUACAGGAUGUAGUAGGAGGUGAUUUGUAAAGCUGUGUGUGACGAUUUAGAUGUUUUGGUGUUGAACCAGCAUGUGACUUUAUUGGGGAGUCUUGAUUUUGAACUUGCUCGUUAACACCUUUCUCUGGAGAUUGAUUUUGGUUUGGAGAAUGCUGGUUUCUCUCCCUGUGAGCUUUCAUCAAGUCGUAGAUAGUGCGAUUAGGAACAAUGAAGAAAACUUUUCCCAGGUUCAGGACAGACUCAGGUUUUACCACAACCCAAGGAUACUCGAACACAUCUGGCCUGGUAACAGAGUGCCUGGGAUACUUCUUCAUGAUUUCAGCUGCAGUUACAGGCUGUCUGUGAAUUUCCACAUAUCUACCUGGAUGCACCAGUUUCAGC